rnacentral:rRNA from 1 species
UGGGGAAUCUUGCGCAAUGGGCGAAAGCCUGACGCAGCAACGCCGCGUGUGUGAUGAAGGUCUUCGGAUCGUAAAGCACUGUCGCGAGGGAAGAGAUGCUUGUCGAUAACACCGGCAAGCGGAGACGGUACCUCGAGAGGAAGCACCGGCUAACUCUGUGCCAGCAGCCGCGGUAAUACAGAGGGUGCGAGCGUUGUUCGGAAUCAUUGGGCGUAAAGCGCUUGUAGGCGGCCUGCCAAGUCGCGUGUGAAAUCCCCUGGCUCAACCAGGGAAGUGCGCGCGAAACUGGCGGGCUUGGAGUGCCGGAGAGGGUCGCGGAAUUCCCGGUGUAGAGGUGAAAUUCGUAGAUAUCGGGAGGAACACCAGUGGCGAAGGCGGCGACCUGGACGGACACUGACGCUGAGACGCGAAAGCGUGGGGAGCAAACAGGAUUAGAUACCCCGGUAGUCC